rnacentral:snRNA from 1 species
GGAUGUGAGGGUGAUCUGGCUGCAACAUCUGUCACCCCGUUGAUCACCAGGGCUGAUUGGCUGAUCUGGCUGGCUAGGCGGGUGUCCCCUUCCUCCCUCACCACUCCAUGUGUGUCCCUCCCGAAGCUGCACACGCCGUCAAAGAGGAUGACCUUCUCUGAAUAGAGGACUAGUCUUCAGUCAAGGGUACACGAGUAGCUGCACACCCCUGCUAGAUCCUCCAAACAAGCAAGCUCUCAAAUGGUUGGAAGAAAACACAGAACGCAUUCACGAGUGAAGGCAGACCAAGAAGCAUCUUUCUCUUCAAGAAAAGGAUGUCU